rnacentral:rRNA from 1 species
GACGAACGCUGGCGGCGUGCUUAACACAUGCAAGUCGAACGGUAAGGCCCUUCGGGGUACACGAGUGGCGAACGGGUGAGUAACACGUGGGUGAUCUGCCCUGCACUUCGGGAUAAGCCUGGGAAACUGGGUCUAAUACCGGAUAGGACCACUGCCUGCAUGGGUGGUGGUGGAGAGCUUUUGCGGUGUGGGAUGGGCCCGCGGCCUAUCAGCUUGUUGGUGGGGUGAUGGCCUACCAAGGCGACGACGGGUAGCCGGCCUGAGAGGGUGACCGGCCACACUGGGGCUGAGAUACGGCCCGGACUCCUACGGGAGGCAGCAGUGGGGAAUAUUGCUCAAUGGGCGCAAGCCUGAUGCAGCGACGCCGCGUGAGGGAUGACGGCCUUCGGGUUGUAAACCUCUUUCAGCACCGACGAAGCGCAAGUGACGGUAGGUGCAGAAGAAGGACCGGCCAACUACGUGCCAGCAGCCGCCGUAA